rnacentral:rRNA from 1 species
ACGGGUGAGUAACACGUGGUCAACCUUCCCUACAGUGGGGGAUAACUAGCCGAAAGGUUAGCUAAUACCGCAUAACAUCUACGAGUGGCAUCAUUUGUAGAUCAAAGGAGCAAUCCGCUGAAGGACGGGACCGCGUCCCAUUAGUUAGUUGGUGGGGUAAUGGCCUACCAAGACUCCGAUGGGUAGCUGGUUUGAGAGAGCGACCAGCCACACUGGGACUGAGAAACGGCCCAG